GACGAACGCUGGCGGCGUGCUUAACACAUGCAAGUCGAACGGUGAAGCGCCUUCCUUUUUGGUGGGUGUGGAUGAGUGGCGAACGGGUGAGUAACACGUGAGUAACCUGCCCCCUUCUUCUGGAUAACCGCAUGAAAGUGUGGCUAAUACGGGAUAUUCUGGGUCUGUCGCAUGGUGGGUCUGGGAAAGAUAUUGUUUCGGUGGGGGAUGGGCUCGCGGCCUAUCAGCUUGUUGGUGGGGUGAUGGCCUACCAAGGCGGUGACGGGUAGCCGGCCUGAGAGGGUGGACGGUCACACUGGGACUGAGACACGGCCCAGACUCCUACGGGAGGCAGCAGUGGGGAAUAGUGCACAAUGGGCGCAAGCCUGAUGCAGCGACGCCGCGUGAGGGAUGGAGGCCUUCGGGUUGUGAACCUCUUUCGCCAGUGAAGCAGGCCUGCCUCGUUUGUGGGUGGGUUGACGGUAGCUGGAUAAGAAGCGCCGGCUAACUACGUG
rnacentral:rRNA from 1 species